rnacentral:lncRNA from 1 species
CUGUCCUAUGGGGCGCUCUGUGGGGUUUCGGUCGUUUUGGGGUCGGGUUGACCUCUGACCUUUGGGGUCGGGAUUUGGGGUGGGUUUGGGAUUGGGAUGGAUCGGGAUUGGGAUCAGGAUUUAGGGUCGGGAUUAGGGUUGGGAUUGGGAUCAGGAUCUGGAUUGGGAUUAGGGCUGGGAUUGGGAUCAAAAUCGGAGUCAGCAUUGGGAUUGGGAUCGGGAUUGGGGUCAGGAUUGGGAUUAGAAGUGGGAUCAGGAUUAGGAUCUGGGAUUGGGAUUGGGAUCUGGAAUCAGGAUUGGGAUCCAGAUCCAGAUUAGGAUUGGGUUCAGGAUUGGGAUCCAGACUGGGGUCAGGGUUGGGAUCAGGAUCAGGAUCCGGGAUUGGGAUUGGGAUUGGGAUUGGGAUUGGGAUCCAGAUCAGGAUCCGGAAUCAGGAUCUGGAAUUAGGAUUGGGAUCUGGAACCAGGAUCUGGAAUUAGGAUCGGGAUCCGGAACCAGGAUCUGGAAUUAGGAUUGGGAUUCGGAAUCGGGAUCGGGAUCAGAUUUGGGAUCCGGAUCCGGGUCAGGAUCCGGUUCGGGCCCUGGGUUCCUUGGCUCCGCUUUGGGGUGGGCCCCGUUGUGGGGUCGC